CCUCAAACAGGAAAUGGUGUCUUCCUGACCCAACCGCUUCUCCGAAGCUAAUGGCGCCUACAAAUUA
rnacentral:ncRNA from 1 species